rnacentral:RNase_P_RNA from 1 species
GUUAGCCAGAUGAUAGCGCGCAGGGGUAACCUUGUGUGAGGAAAGUCCGAGCACCACAGGACAAGUGCGCUUGAUAACGUCAAGCUAGGGUGACCUAAGGAAAAGGGCAACAGAGAUAAACCGCCAACCGCCCAAACGGGUAGGGGCAAGGGUGGAAAAGUGGGGUAAGAGCCCACUCGUGGCAUUGGUGACAACGCCUCGCUGUAAACUCCGCACGGUGCAAGAUGUAGGGCAUUAAGGGCUGUCCGCUCGCCCUCAAUAUCGCAUAGAGUUACGUGGCAACACGUAAACAAGAUUGAUUAUCAUCUAAAACAGAACUCGGCUUACAGACUAACUUU